rnacentral:rRNA from 1 species
GUUAAGCGACUAAGCGUACACGGUGGAUGCCCUGGCAGUCAGAGGCGAUGAAGGGCGUGCUAAUCUGCGAUAAGCGCCGGUAAGGUGAUAUGAACCGUUAUAACCGGCGAUACCCGAAUGGGGAAACCCAGUGUGAUUCGUCACACUAUCAUUAACUGAAUCCAUAGGUUAAUGAGGCGAACCGGGGGAACUGAAACAUCUAAGUACCCCGAGGAAAAGAAAUCAACCGAGAUUCCCCCAGUAGCGGCGAGCGAACGGGGAGGAGCCCAGAGCCUGAAUCAGCAUGUGUGUUAGUGGAAGCGUCUGGAAAGGCGCGCGAUACAGGGUGACAGCCCCGUACACAAAAGCGCAUGUGCUGUGAGCUCGAUGAGUAGGGCGGGACACGUGGUAUCCUGUCUGAAUAUGGGGGGACCAUCCUCCAAGGCUAAAUACUCCUGACUGACCGAUAGUGAACCAGUACCGUGAGGGAAAGGCGAAAAGAACCCCGGCGAGGGGAGUGAAAAAGAACCUGAAACCGUGUACGUACAAGCAGUGGGAGCACAGGUUUACCUGUGUGACUGCGUACCUUUUGUAUAAUGGGUCAGCGACUUAUAUUCUGUAGCAAGGUUAACCGUAUAGGGGAGCCGCAGGGAAACCGAGUCUUAAUUGGGCGUUAAGUUGCAGGGUAUAGACCCGAAACCCGGUGAUCUAGCCAUGGGCAGGUUGAAGGUUGGGUAACACUAACUGGAGGACCGAACCGACUAAUGUUGAAAAAUUAGCGGAUGACCUGUGGCUGGGGGUGAAAGGCCAAUCAAACCGGGAGAUAGCUGGUUCUCCCCGAAAGCUAUUUAGGUAGCGCCUCGUGAAUUCAUCUCCGGGGGUAGAGCACUGUUUCGGCUAGGGGGCCAUCCCGGCUUACCAACCCGAUGCAAACUGCGAAUACCGGAGAAUGUUAUCACGGGAGACACACGGCGGGUGCUAACGUCCGUCGUGAAGAGGGAAACAACCCAGACCGCCAGCUAAGGUCCCAAAGUCAUGGUUAAGUGGGAAACGAUGUGGGAAGGCCCAGACAGCCAGGAUGUUGGCUUAGAAGCAGCCAUCAUUUAAAGAAAGCGUAAUAGCUCACUGGUCGAGUCGGCCUGCGCGGAAGAUGUAACGGGGCUAAACCAU